AUUGAACGCUGGCGGCAGGCUUAACACAUGCAAGUCGAGCGAGCGGCGGACGUGUGAGUAAUGUCUGUGAAACUGCCUGAUGGAGGGGGAUAACUACUGGAAACGGUAGCUAAUCCCGCAUACCAGCAGAUUUGCCACGAUGGGAUUAGCUAGUAGGUGGGGUAAUGGCUCACCUAGGCGACGAUCCCUAGCUGGUCUGAGAGGAUGACCAGCCACACUGGAACUGAGACACGGUCCAGACUCCUACGGGAGGCAGCAGUGGGGAAUAUUGCACAAUGGGCGAAAGCCUGAUGCAGCAAGGCCGCGUGUGUGAAGAAGGCCUUCGGGUUGUAAAGCACUGUCAGCGAGGAGGCGUUACCUGCCCAAGAAGCACCGGCUAACUCCGUGCCAGCAGCCGCGGUAAUUC
rnacentral:rRNA from 1 species